CCUACGGGUGGCAGCAGUAGGGAAUAUUGCACAAUGGGGGAAACCCUGAUGCAGCAACGCCGCGUGGGGGAAGAAGGUUUUCGGAUUGUAAAGCCCUUUUAGCAGGGAAGAGAAAGGACGGUACCUGCAGAGGAAGCCACGGCUAACUACGUGCCAGCAGCCGCGGUAAUACGUAGGUGGCAAGCGUUGUUCGGAAUAACUGGGCGUAAAGGCUGCGUAGGCGGUUAAACAAGUUAUAUGUUAAAUAUAUAGGCUUAACCUGUAGAAAGCAUAUAAAACUGUUUAACUAGAGUGUAGGAGAGGUAGGUGGAAUUCUUGGUGUAGGGGUAAAAUGCGUAGAGAUUAGGAAGAACACUAGUGGCGAAGGCGACUUACUGGACCGUAACUGACGCUGAGGCAUGAGAGCAUGGGGAGCAAACAGGAUUAGAUACCCCUGUAGUC
rnacentral:rRNA from 1 species